UAAAUUCAUUGUUAUAAUUGAUGCUUAUGAAACACAUUGGAUUAGUUUAAUCAAUACCAGUCUAUUUUGCAUCCUCCCGUAUAGGCGAUAUGACCCGGUCAACAUGAGAAUGACACGUUCACUACAUGACGGCAUCCAUCUUCUCUAACAAGACUACCGGUUCACAGCUCUACAAUACAAAGUCCAGCAGCAUGCCAGAUUUGUUCAUUUCCAAACUGACGGGCAGGGAGGGCUAUAAUGCCAACAGCGUGUCUUGGAGUGAGGCUACUUGUUUGUCUUCGAAAACACUUAUUUUGAAUAAGAAAAACGAUUAUAGGCCUGGAACCAAACAUACAAUUGAGUUUGUUGCUACUCCAUAUGGCGAACAACACUUACUACAUUUCCGGCUUGAACAAGGCACUCAGCAACUGCAGAAGGGUGAAUAUAUCGGUGAGGAAUGUACAGAAAAAGUCCCCGCCCCCAUUCUUUGGAAGAAAACUUCGCUAUGGCUGUAUUCCAUAGGCUAUGGGUAAACAGGAUUACAGAAAGAAAGUUUAAUAAAAGAACGCAUCUUGUUUUGAAUAAUUAGAUGUUUUAUGAAAGGAAACCACACGGGAAACAUCGGUGAGAUUUUAAGACCAAAUAUGACAUUUUUAAGGUGUAAUGUUUACGUUUAAACUAUAUGUAGGCUAUGGCUAUUAAGUUUUAUAUCUUGUUGUGGUGGGUCAAUAUCUCAAACUUUUCCGUCGUUUAGUGAACCCGUUUGGGGUGACAUACCCUUAUUUAUUAAUUCCUACUUCCGUCGAAUAUGCUAUUUCUAAUGUCUCUAGAUGGUCUCUCAAUGCAUUCCACUGGUUGACUGCUUGAGCUACAAUGUAUGGAACAUUCUUGUCUUGAACGCCAUGUUGUAGUGAAUGUUGAAAAAACGUGUCUGAGGAGACUUAUUCAACAUUUUUGUUAUUAUCGAUAUGUUAUUAGAUCAACCUUUCAGACCGGUCACCAUGUACUAUAUUAAAUGUUACUUAAAAUAUCAUCCUGUUAAAAUAUUUGAUUGGCAUUUUCCUCCUAUAAAAUCCCUAUAGAAUUAUCUUCUGCACAGAAAAUGGCGGUUUUCUGCCUUGGCCUAGCUCAAUAAUCAUUGUAAAAACAAUGUCUAUUAUUUU